rnacentral:rRNA from 1 species
GUGGGGAAUCUUGCGCAAUGGGCGAAAGCCUGACGCAGCCAUGCCGCGUGAAUGAUGAAGGUCUUAGGAUUGUAAAAUUCUUUCACCGGGGACGAUAAUGACGGUACCCGGAGAAGAAGCCCCGGCUAACUUCGUGCCAGCAGCCGCGGUAAUACGAAGGGGGCUAGCGUUGCUCGGAAUUACUGGGCGUAAAGGGCGCGUAGGCGGACAGCUUAGUCAGAGGUGAAAGCCCAGGGCUCAACCUUGGAAUUGCCUUUGAUACUGGCUGUCUUGAGUUUGGGAGAGGUGAGUGGAACUCCGAGUGUAGAGGUGAAAUUCGUAGAUAUUCGGAAGAACACCAGUGGCGAAGGCGACUCACUGGCCCAAUACUGACGCUGAGGCGCGAAAGCGUGGGGAGCAAACAGGAUUAGAUACUCUUGUAGUCC